rnacentral:lncRNA from 1 species
GCAAACACGAACUACUACAUGUAGUAGUUCGUGCUAAUAAUAUUAUACGUCAUACUAUUAUGAAUAGUAAAAUGAAUAAUCUUUGAAAGUUGAAGUUUUCAAUUAUACUUAUAAUAAAUAAAUUUUAAUUCGCCCCAAUUCGGUGGACAGGGAUGUAGCCACUGCGAAGAAAACCGUCAGUCGUCAGAGCACAACACCAUGAAGACGGCGCACCGGUUCCUGAAUUUUAAAUAGACUAUUUUAUCCAUGCCUAAUACGUUAUACAAUUUAAAUACAACGAGCAGUAAUAACCAAUCAAUAGUGGAAUGUUGUUAUAUAAAUGCGUGCAUCAACAUGAAUGGCUCAGUAAAUUAAUUUGAUGAAAAUAAGGUGAAAUAUUACAGAUUUAACAAGUAAUAAUUCAUCUCAAAACAAUACAACUGUCUUCCUAGAGGAUUUCCAGAAUUUUAUUACAAUUAACAGUCGAUGAAUUUGCUUCUAGAAUGGAAUCACUAACCAGUAUGCACAUCUCAUAUAGAUAUAUUAUUAUACCAAUUUACACUGAACAAGGAACCUCUAAUAUUGAACAAUAAACUGUUAUUCAAAACAUUGCUGGUCAAACGAUGUCAUAUCAAAAAACGCAGUAUUUAUAUAAUCCUAAUGAGGUUACUUUACAAAGAAUGUUAUAAACAAAAGUUGUCAAAAUAUGUUGGUGGAAUAUUGUUUGUGAUAUAAUCAAAAAUGGCUUUGCAAUAACAGUGUUAUAGUAUUCUAUAGCCAGUGCAAUUUGUUAGAACUUUUCAUUCUAAAAUAAAGGAUUUACAUUUUGGUAAUGAUGCCUUGAAUUCCCCAAAAGGAAAAUUAUCUUCAAAAUAUUUUAACACCAUUUGAACAAUGACACAAUGUGAAUAGAAAUUAUGGAUUUAUUUGGUAAUAUAUAAUAAUUAAUAAUGUAUUGUACAUAAUAAUGUGUAAUUUAUUAGUAAAUAUUAGGUGUGGAAUUUCUCGGAGAAAAAAGUGAAGUAGAAUGAUAUGAUUGGUUAUUAAAUAAAAUAUAAUAGAAGCAGUGUUAUAGCGAGAAACUUGUGUGCCCUAAUCGACAGAGACUCUCCAAAACAUAGAAAUUAAAUAAAAAUAA